UGUUCACUGGCAUAUUUUUUGCUUCUGUUCUGUUCUGUUCUCAAUCAGUCCCGGCUGGCAGUGAGUAAAAGCAGAUGGCAUCUUGGAUUGCACAGUUUCCAUUUUUAGAAGCUGCUGUUGGUCAGUUACCUUGACGACAGGAUACUUGCCGUGCAAUAACAGCAGCAACGACAAGACCUCGGCUACUCCCUUGCCCCUCUGGCGCUAACACUAGCUUAGUACGAGAAAUAGCAGCCAACAUUCCCGGUGCCUUGUGGGAGGCCGACCAGCAACACGGCCGCUACUGAAAUGGGAAGGAAAGGGAGUCGCGGCAGGAAGGGAGGAGGCGGGGGCCCGAGGGGCCGAGGGCUGACUCACAAACAGUCACUUAUUCCAUGCAGCACGUUGAAGGCUGGAAAAGUUGUGUCACGCUGCUUGAAAAGGGAGGGGGCCGACGGGGGAUGCACUUUGGCCCUUCACGGGAUGUAGCUUGUGUAGCAGACAAAUUCAGUCUUUUUAGGGACAAACACGUCAAUUGCAAGGCUGUCUUUUUGCAGUCUGUCUCUGUACUCGUCCGUCACGAUAUUGUCGACUUUUAAAGGGUUCGGUGCAUCGUUGACUUUUGCGUCGUACCUUUAACCGCACGAGGUUGCGGGAAUCAUGGUGACUGUUUUUCAGCAAGGAUUUACGUGAGACUGAAGACCAAAAUGCGAAACGUCCUAAGUUUGGGAUCAUUUCACUCUUCAAAAGCAAAAUUGGCCCACGCCCCGUUACCGUUUUGGAAUCUUUUGGAAAGGUUCUCUAUCUGCACCAGACCCCACACGCCAAAGCCGAUCGGGCGCUCAAGACCUUUGCCGGUUCUGCGCUCGGAUCCAAUCAACAAACGAGUCGUCAUCUGCCAUGAGGUCAUGCGCUCGGACAGAUGAUGAUUCCAGGUCCGAGUUUUGGCAGCAUGGUGUCAGAAGCAGGGCUCUGGACUCGGACUCGGGGACUCGGACUUGUUGGACUCUGUCAUUUUUGCCGGACUCGGACUCGGUGCUGAUUUUGACCGAGUCCACUGAGUCCGACAAUAAAAAAAAUACGUUCAAUUUUAUUUUUAUCAUGCUGCUGAGAAUGCGCGUAGGAAUACUGUCCACAGCCCUGCUUGCUUGUUAUGGAGACAAAUUUAGUUGCGUGCGCGCCCGCGCCUGCCUGCCUGCGUGCGUGCACGUACAAGACCCACAAUGCCCCGCGCGCAGCCAAGAUGGAAGAACCCGGAAGCAGCGAGAGAACAAUGUUUUGCCUCUAGAUUUGGGGGGGAAACGGAGCAUAAGUUACGAUCAAUGCGGCCACGUUGAGUUGCACUUAGGCUAAUGUUUACAUUAUGUACCAAUGUCAAGGACGAUUAUGUCACCCAGCUUAUAUCAUUGAUGUGUUUCGAUAGUUGUGGGGUCGUCACUAAUUAUUUGUGUUUAGAUAAAUGUCUGAUCUAUAAUGGUGUAAUUAAUGAUUAAAACUUGAAAGUAUCUGUUUAUUGUAUUCGUUUAUAUGUUUAAUACAAACAAAGCCAUCACAAAA